rnacentral:ncRNA from 1 species
UAAGUUUGAUUCUAGCUUAUAUAUUUGAUUAAUUUUUUGAAAAUACACAUGCAAAGUUCAUACUCCCGUGAUAGAUAAAAUUUUUUAACAUUGUAAAUUUAUUAUUAUAAAUAUUUAUAAUAUUUAAGAAUUCCACGUCUGCAGUGACCAACCCUUAAUUAUUAACUAACGUUAGAUUAGGCAAUUAAUUUACCCUUCUGACCAAAUCUGUGCCAGCAGUCGCGGUUAUACAGAAAGACACAAUCAAUUCAUUCAGGCUCGUAAAUUGAGAGUAAAAAUAAAGCUAAGGGUUCAAUCUUCCUUUAUAAAUUAACUAUAUCUCUCUAUUUCUAAACGAAAGUAUAGACCAAAACAAGGAUUAGAUACCCUUUUAUUCUAAACCUUAAAUAUUAUCGUCCUGGGCACUACGAACUCAUGUUUAAAACCCAAAGAACUUGGCGGUACUUUAACCUCUUAGGGGAACCUGUAAAUUAAUUUGAUAACCCACAUAAACCUUACUUGUAUUAGCUUCCAGCCUGUAUACUGCCGUCGCCAGUUUACCUUGAAAAAGUUUUAGUAAACUAAUAAAUAUUAAUUUAUACGUCAGGUCAUAGUGCAGCUCAUGUACAAGUUUUCUUAUGGGUUACAUUCCUCAUAAGGACCGAUUGUUUUAUAAACAUAUAAAAUAUGAAGUUGGACUUAAUUGUAAGAAUAAUAAAUUUAUUCUCCUGAACUAGGAAAUCUAAAGUGUGCACAAAUCGCCCGUCACUCCCCUCUAAAGAGGGGAUAAGUCGUAACAUAGUAGGGGUAAUGGAAAUUGUCCCUACA